AUGCCCUAGUAACGGCGAGUGAAGCGGCAACAGCUCAAAUUUGAAAUCUGGCGUCUUUGGCGUCCGAGUUGUAAUUUGCAGAGGGCGCUUUGGCAUUGGCAGCGGUCCAAGUUCCUUGGAACAGGACGUCACAGAGGGUGAGAAUCCCGUACGUGGUCGCUAGCCUCUACCGUGUAAAGCCCCUUCGACGAGUCGAGUUGUUUGGGAAUGCAGCUCUAAAUGGGAGGUAAAUUUCUUCUAAAGCUAAAUACUGGCCAGAGACCGAUAGCGCACAAGUAGAGUGAUCGAAAGAUGAAAAGCACUUUGGAAAGAGAGUUAAAAAGCACGUGAAAUUGUUGAAAGGGAAGCGCUUGCAGCCAGACUUGCCUGUAGUUGCUCAUCCGGGUUUCUACCCGGUGCACUCUUCUAUAGGCAGGCCAGCAUCAGUUUGGGCGGUUGGAUAAAGGUCUCUGUCACGUACCUCCUCUCGGGGAGGCCUUAUAGGGGAGACGACAUGCAACCAGCCUGGACUGAGGUCCGCGCAUCUGCUAGGAUGCUGGCGUAAUGGCUGUAAGCGGCCCGUCUUGAAACACGGACCAAGGAGUCUAACAUCUAUGCGAGUGUUUGGGUGUCAAGCCCGAACGCGUAAUGAAAGUGAACGGAGGUGGGAACCUUUCGGGGUGCACCAUCGACCGAUCCUGAUGUCUUCGGAUGGAUUUGAGUAAGAGCAUAGCUGUUGGGACCCGAAAGAUGGUGAACUAUGCUUGAAUAGGGUGAAGCCAGAGGAAACU
rnacentral:rRNA from 1 species